UAAUUUAAAGUCUGACCUGCCCAAUGAUUAAUUGAAUGGCCGCGGUAUUUUGACCGUGCUAAGGUAGCAUAAUCAUUAGUUUUUUAAUUGAGAACUGGUAUGAAUGGUUGGACAAAGAAAAUUCUGUCUCAAAUUUAAUUUAAUUAGAAUUUUAUUUUUAAGUUAAAAAGCUUAAAUAAAUUUAAAAGACGAGAAGACCCUAUAGAGUUUUAUAUUUAAUUUUAUAAUUAAUUUAAAGAAUUGUAAUUUUAAUAUAUUAUUAAGUAUUUUGUUGGGGUGAUGGAAAAAUUGAUUUAACUUUUUUUAUAUUCAUACAUUUAUAUAUGAUUAUUUGAUCCAUUAUUUAUGAUUAAAAGAUUAAAUUACCUUAGGGAUAACAGC
rnacentral:rRNA from 1 species